rnacentral:rRNA from 1 species
GAUGAACGCUGGCGGCGUGCUUAACACAUGCAAGUCGAACGGAAAGGCCUGUACUUGUACAGGUACUCGAGUGGCGAACGGGUGAGUAACACGUGGGUGAUCUGCCCUGCACCGUGGGAUAAGCCCGGGAAACUGGGUCUAAUACCAUACAGGACCACUUCUUGGAUGUGGUGGUGGACGGCUUCUGCGGUGUGGGAGGAUCCUGCGGCCUAUCAGCUUGUUGGUGGGGUAAUGGCCUACAAAGGCGGCGACGGGUGUCCGGCCUGAGAGGGUGUACGGACACAUUGGGACUGAGAUACGGCCCAGACUCCUACGGGAGGCAGCAGUGGGGAAUAUUGCACAAUGGGCGCAAGCCUGAUGCAGCGACGCCGCGUGGGGGAUGACGGCCUUCGGGUUGUAAACUCCUUUCGCUAUCGACGAAGCCACCUUGGGUGGUGACGGUAGGUAGAUAAGAAGCACCGGCUAACUACGUGCCAGCAGCCGCGGUAA